UGGGUAACCUACCUUAUAGAGGGGAAUAGCCUUCCGAAAGGAAGAUUAAUACCGCAUAACAUUGCAGUUUCGCAUGAAGCAGCAAUUAAAGGAGAAAUCCGCUAUAAGAUGGGCCCGCGGCGCAUUAGCUAGUUGGUGAGGUAAAGGCUCACCAAGGCGACGAUGCGUAGCCGACCUGAGAGGGUGAUCGGCCACAGUUGGGACUGAGACACGGCCCAGACCUCCGUAGGGACGG
rnacentral:rRNA from 1 species